rnacentral:rRNA from 1 species
AUUGAACGCUGGCGGCAUGCCUUACACAUGCAAGUCGAACGGUAACGCGGGGCAACCUGGCGACGAGUGGCGAACGGGUGAGUAAUGCAUCGGAACGUGCCCAGUAGUGGGGGAUAACUACUCGAAAGAGUGGCUAAUACCGCAUACGCCCUGAGGGUGAAAGCGGGGGAUCGCAGGACCUCGUGCUAUUUGAGCGGUCGAUGUCAGAUUAGGGAGUUGGUGGGGUAAAGGCUCACCAAACCAACGAUCUGUAGCUGGUCUGAGAGGACGACCAGCCACACUGGGACUGAGACACGGCCCAGACUCCUACGGGAGGCAGCAGUGGGGAAUUUUGGACAAUGGGCGCAAGCCUGAUCCAGCCAUGCCGCGUGCGGGAAGAAGGCCUUCGGGUUGUAAACCGCUUUUGUCAGGGAAGAAACGCUCUGGGUUAAUACCCUGGGGUAAUGACGGUACCUGAAGAAUAAGCACCGGCUAACUACGUGCCAGCCGCCGCAGUAAAAC